UUGUUCUAAUUAAUAUUUUAUUCUUCAACAUUUUUAAAGACUCCAAUAUAUUAGACAAAGAAUUUUUUGAUAAUGUAAGUUAAUUUCUCUGGAGACAACCAUAUAAUCCUCUAAAAUGACAUGAACGUUUAUAUAUGGGACUGAAGUUUCUGCAGUCUAUAUAUACCUCUUUGGGAGGAAAAAAGUAAAGUACUGACAAUUCAAUUUUAACAAAAAAAAUGCUUUCCUUAUCAAACAUUAAUGUUGUGUACAUGAACCUAUCAUCUGUGACAGCAAGGAACUCAAGCCAGGUGAUGCACAAGCCUUCACCCAGCUCAGUUAGCUUGGGCUUCUCCUGUACCAGAUUUGCCUGAAGUAACAUGAGGUUAUUUAAAAAGACCUCCACCUAGGUUGCAGUGAGCAGAGAUUGUGCCACUGCACUCCAG
rnacentral:lncRNA from 1 species